ensembl:lncRNA
GCCAGGGUUCAGGGGAAGACACAUCUAAAUCCUUGAUUGGCAGUUGGUUAUGAGGUUCGACCACUUUGGUCUACCAGUCAUCAUAAGGAGAUUCAUUCACUAACACAGACUCUAAUGUUGACACUGAGGUGGUGGUGAAAUCUCCUCCUCAUGAGGCUCCUGUUGGACGCUUUAUACCCAAACUCAACAGUGGCGCUCAUCUAGUUCUCCCCUCCUUCACCACGCUCAUCUUCAUCCUGGGCCAGCAAUGGACCUUGACCUGAGAGGUUGAAGAUACACAUAAUUAUGAAUAAAACCACAAGAUCUUCAUCUGCCUGGAUGCUUAUGUCUAUCUCCAUAUUGUCUUCCAAGACUGCUGCCAUUUUUCAUGGCAGCAAAUAUCUAAUAUAUUCUUAAAACAUUUUCUCUUACAUACACACGCAUAUGAUCAAGCAUAUCAAUAGUCAUAACUGCUUUUAAUCAUAUUCUCUCAGAUUAAAUAUCACUUAAAUACCACACAUCUAAACCUUCAACCUGUCAGUAAAAUGCAUGACAGAAGCACUUCUCAAGCAUUAAUGGACAAAUACAAUAUCUGAUCAGCACGGAAUGUUCUUGUUAUUAAACACAUACACAGAGAGGAAGAAAUAGAAAAAUUAAAUAUUAGUGUUAUGCUUAAUGUAGUAUGUAUACAGUUAUGAUUCCAUAGUGAAGACCAUAGUGAAGUUUUAAAACCCCCAAACCCCAACCUUUUUAAUAUAACCCACUGGUGCACACAGAAAAACACACAUAUGUCUUUUUAACCAUCAUGAAAUGAUAUCGAUAGAUUCAAUAAAAAUGAAUUAAUUAUCUGUUAAAUAGCUUCAGAUCAAUCUUUUAAAAUCAUCAGGUUUAAAACUUUCAGUUGUUACCCCGCAUCAAAGCCAACGAACAAAAAAAAGAGUAGGUUCAGAUGUGCCAUGUGAUUUUCACAUCACCUCAAGUUUACUUAAAGCAAUGGAAACAUUUAUAUGCAUAAAAUAUAUUCAGUAAUACUGCAGAAUUCAUCUUUGUGUUCAUAUGAGUAAUGUCUUCAUGUUUUAUGUUCAUUUUCAUUGACUAAGUUACCAUUCUUAAAGGACUAGCUAAGUGUCCAUCCACUCUAACUUAUUUUUAAAUUUCAAAUUCCAGAACAGUCACUGCAUCUGAAAACUCAUCUUGAUAGUAAAUAUGUUAGAAUUCUGAUUGCAAAU